rnacentral:rRNA from 1 species
AACAGGAUUAGAUACCCUGGUAGUCCACGCUGUAAACGAUGUGUGCUGGAUGUUGGGUUACCUAGUAACUCAGUGUCGUAGCUAACGCGAUAAGCACACCGCCUGGGGAGUACGGCCGCAAGGAUGAAACUCAAAGGAAUUGACGGGGGCCCGCACAAGCGGUGGAGCAUGUGGUUUAAUUCCAAGCAACGCGCAAAACCUUACCAGGACUUGACAUGGGAUCGUCGUAUUCAGAGAUGGAUAUUCUCGCAAGAGCGGUCUGCACAGGUGCUGCAUGGCUGUC